ensembl:snRNA U1 U1 spliceosomal RNA
AUAAUUACCUAGCAGGGGAAAUACCGUGAUCACAGAGGUGGUUUUCUCAGCAUGAGGCUUAUCUAUAUUGCACUCAGGAUAUGCUGACGCCUGUGAUAUCCCCACAGUGGGAAACUCGAUUGCAUAAUUUGUGGUAGUGGGGGACUGCAUUGGCACCCUGCCC